UUUUAAAUAAGCUGGUACCCUUUUUUUUUGUUUAUUACUCAAAUUAGUAGUUUAAAGAAAUGAUAAUUUUAGUAGUUGUAUUUGUUGGAAAAAAUCGGUAAAGCUAAGAGAAUCUUAUGUAAAAGACUAAAAACUAAGCACUAACUUCCUAUUUGUGAUUCAACUUUGAAUGAUUUAGAAAGAUGAAGGUCAAAUGGCUGAACCAAAUUAGAAUUUUCAGUUAUCAUUAACACUAAAAAUAAAGUUAAUACAUAAGAUUUCUUCGACAUGUAUUGCUGCAUGUUGUUCUUUUAGCGUGUUGUUUUAUUGGAGUCAUUCAAGAGAUCAGCCACACUAGUUGUGCAUUUCACAUAUGCUUGGAGAAGGCCCACACAGUAGUCAGAUGGAGAAAUAGGAGCUGGACAAUGAGCUGGAUAGUCAGUUACAGGGAGGGGGUAUUCUUGGUAAUCUGGGAAAUAGUUUGUUAGUCCUUGUUUUGUGUGCUGAGCUUGUUAUUUCGGCUUGUUAGUUAUUUUUGAGUAUUAUGGGAGGUUUGUGAAGGGGGAAUGUAUCUAGAGAAUUGUUGUGGAUUUCAUUCCUUGGGAGAGCAUCCUUUCCUCUCGAAAGAAGGGAGUUGUAUUGAGGUUUCUCUGACUUGCAAUACAAUCUAUCUUAUUUUGGCUGU